UUCAACUACUCAUGGCUCUAGCUAGUAGCCAGCUGCCCCUGACACUCUAGGGAGCACACACUCAACAGAGACUUCUGGAAGUCAAUAUGAUGGGAAGAAUAGGAGUUCUGGUCAGGAAUCCCUGUGGUCAGCACAAUUCCAAGGACAAAAGACUCAAAUCCCAGCUCUAAGCAGGAUAACCUUGGACACUAGAGACUACACCCCACCCUGAGGACUGUGAGCACCUCAUAAGCCCUCUGCGGUCUUGCCUCCGCCCUGUUGGCUGGGAAGCUAAGGUGUGGACAGGAUCAGAACCCUACCUCGCUUGAAGCUUUUCUUCCCAAGAGAACAGAAGACCAGGCAGCACGAAGAAGACCUAAGACUUGAUUUUUUUUUCUUUUCCUAAUGGCACUAGAGAUGGUUUACAGGGCUUGCAUAUGUCAGGAUUUGGACCUUUAUUGGGGAAUGGUUUCCUCCAAGACUGAAACAUUCCAAACUAAAGGGAGGCUCUUAAAACAAGGAGGUGAACAACUCAAAAAUGCUUCAGGAAGUCCCUGAAAUUGAAAUUUACUCAGUGGUCCAGGAGGCAAUAAAGACUGUGGAGAGUCACUGUCAGAGAAGCAAAGCACACUGAAACCAAACCAACUUCCUGGGAGAAGCAGAAACCAGUCGAGCAGCCUAGAAGAGUUUUAGACCAGAGGACACUCUCUGACCUGUUGAGUUGCCUGCAGACUGUACAGUUGCUCCAGAUUCCCAGCUCUAUGAACUGUCACCCAUGCCGGGGCGGACCUUGGUCAUGCAGCUGUCUUUGAGUCAUUUCUGCUCCUGUAAGUGACCCCUCACUCACAUUCCUGUAACUGACUUCAAUAAAGCUCACUGGUUCACCAA